CGUAAGUUUCAUGACAGUUGUUUAUUACUUGGAUAUCCACGGUAAUUCUAGAGCUAAUACAUGCGUCCAGACCCGACUUUUGCGAAGGGGUGGUGUUUAUUAAACACUAAACCACCCCGGCUUGCCCGGUUUCGAGGUGAUUGAUGGUAAUCGAACGAAUCGCAUGCUUCGGCGGCAAUAAUUCAUUCAAGUUUCGGACCAAUCACCUUCCAACGGUAGGGAAUUGCCCUCCCGGGGCUUUAACGGGUAACGAAAAAUUAGGGUUUGAUUCCGGAAAGGGAGCCUGAAAAACGGCUACCACUUCUAAGGAAGGCAGCAGGCCCCCAAAUUACCCAAUCCUGACACAGGGGGGUAGUGACAAAAAAUACCAAUAUGAGGCUUUUUUGCCUUGUAUUUGGAAGGAGCACAAUUCAAACCCCUUUUCAAGAAUCAAU
rnacentral:rRNA from 1 species